AGGGCUACUAUACUCUUAUGAGUAUAGAGUCCUUCGUACUCAUAAGUUGUUUUAGAUGAUGGAGCUUCCGAAUUGACAAUCCACUCCGUUAAAUAUAAUCUAGAGUAUUUGAAACUUCUAGAAAAUAAAUUUCGUAAUUUUUCAAAAUCAUAAUAAAGUCCAUCAAGCGGGCAUAAAAUGAACGGUUUAAAUCGAACGACGUCCUAAAAAUAAAUGAUUGGAUCCUUCAAUUUAAGAUCCGAGUUAUUGAUCUUUAUCUAGGUAGUGAAUAAAAUUUUCUAUCAAAAAUUCAACCGAUUCCGAUUCUUUUAUACUGUUAAACUAGCAAAUAUCCUAUACCGGCCGUUAAAAAUUGUCAAUUUUGUGAUCUUUUGAUCGUAAGGUAAAUGAUGUCGAAAAAUUAUAAAAUUUGAUUUCUAGAAGUUUUAAAUGCUCUAGAUAACGUUUAACGGUAUGAAUCGUCGAUUCGGAAGCUCUAUCAUUAAAAACGACUUAUGAGUAUAAGGGUGAUCAUACUUAUAAGAAUAUAAUAGUCGGAUUCUCUCUCUCUCUCUCUCUCUAUAAAUAGUUAUAUAUAUAUAUAGUUGGGCUAGAAUACUAUUAAUAAUAUUUGCCCCCUUGUGCUAUUAAGUUUUUAGUCUUUGAAUUAAUUUUUUUGAUUAUUUUUAACUAUCGGAUUAAAUAUUAUAAUCCAGUGGGAGACCACUCAGCCCUAAAGAAUUAAUAUUAUCCUUAUCCUAUAAUUUUUCACCCAAUAAUUAAAAACUUGAUAACAAAAUGAGCCAAAUACUAUUAAUAGUAUUCCAGCCCAAUAUUAAU
rnacentral:lncRNA from 1 species